rnacentral:lncRNA from 1 species
ACUGCAUCUUUAGCCAAGAAACUCAAGAGCAUUGCUGAGCUUGUUUUUGUGGAUGCACCCCAUGAAUUGCCUUUCAUUUAUCAAAUUCGUCAAAAUUGUGAUUCUGCAUCAGAACUGGAAAAAAACCAUCCACCUUCGGAGAGUUGCAAUAAAAAGUUUUCAUGGUUAGUUGCACCUGAUCACAAGGGGGAGAACGAUUCUGAUUGGAAUUGUGAUUCUGCAUCAGAACUGGAAAAUAACCAUCCACCUUCGGAGAGUUGCAAUAAAAAGUUUUCAUGGUUAGUUGCACCUGAUCACAAGGGGGAGAACGAUUCUGAUUGGAAAAUAGCUGACAGUCCAUUUGAUCCUCUUCAGUACCAGAAACAAACUGAAGGUUUCGAUAAAUCUAUUGCAUAUUUAAAAGCCUUAUGUU